rnacentral:misc_RNA from 1 species
AAAAAGUACAAUGUGUAAUUAAGGAUUUUCCGAAACUCUUUCAACUGGUGGAAUGCAACUGGUCAGUGCUUGUACCAAAACCCUUUUGGACUCGAGAGGGAAAGCCGCGGCAAUGGAGAAAUUCUCGAUCUCAAUACUCCUAAUAAUCUCACUCCUCCCCUUUCUCUGCUCCUCCUUCUCACAAGAAUCCCCAACCGAUCGCCGGAUUUUAGUCUUGCUCGAUGAUUUCUCUCUGAAAUCCUCCCACUCCAUUUUCUUCAGCUCACUCAAGUCUCGUGGGUUCGACCUCGAUUUCAAGCUUGCCGACGAUCCCAAGCUCGCGCUUCAGAGAUAUGGCCAGUACUUGUAUGAUGGCUUGGUUCUCUUCUCUCCUUCUGUUGAGAGAUUUGGAGUUGCAUUGGAUUUAGCGGCUGGGCUUGACUUCGUUGACUCGGGCCAUGACU